GUGCCAGCAGCCGCGGUAAGACGUAGGAUGCAAGCGUUGUCCGGAUUUAUUGGGCGUAAAGAGUUCGUAGGCUGUUUGUUAAGUCUGGUGUUAAAGACUGAGGCCCAACCUCGGAAAUGCAUCGGAUACUGGCAGACUUGAGUACGGUAGAGGCGAGUGGAAUUCCCAGUGUAGCGGUGAAAUGCGUAGAUAUUGGGAAGAACACCGGUGGCGUAGGCGACUCGCUGGGCCGCAACUGACGCUGAGGAACGAAAGCCAGGGGAGCGAAUGGGAUUAGAUACCCCGGUAGUCC
rnacentral:rRNA from 1 species